GUGUUAUAUAUCAUAUAUAAAGUAAACUAUCCACAAAGAUCAGGCCGUAUUGGAAUCAAGUCCACUUUUCAUUGACCAAUACAAUAACGACCAAACACAAUUUUUACAUUCAACUUAUAAAUGAAACGACAUAAAGAUAUGUCUUGCACCAACAGAUCUUAAAAGGACCCAAACGCAAGCUAGAAACAGAGCAGCAUUUGUGUAUUAGAGCAUGCCACCACUUGAAUUGUCGCUUAAUGUGCAUUCCUGACAAUCGCAAAGCACAGCUUCCGCUCCUCACCUUUCCGGAAGCCCCACAACUCCACCUCAUCCUCCUCUUGAAGGUAACUGCAGUGCAAUAACCACGGGUAUUCCUUACCUUUGAUCACGAUGGAUCCACUGGCGUCCCAACGAGUGAGCAGCAAGUGGGAAAUAAUCCGGUUCUGAGGGUACACAUCUACCUCCAAUCCCCCAUGAUUCCGUCCCUGAGCACGACUAGUGCUGGGGGCAUUCCUCCUUGCUGUGGGCUGAAGAAGACUGGCAGCAUCCUUCUCGUGCUCGGAGAGCAUGGCGAUGAGGUUGGCCGCAUAUUUAAAUGGGAUGAGGAGGCGGUUCUGCUGCUGAUGAUUGAGGUCG
rnacentral:lncRNA from 1 species